rnacentral:rRNA from 1 species
GUACCUACUAGCCUACGACGGGUACGGGUUGUGAGAGCAAGAGCCCGGAGAUGGAUUCUGAGACAUGAAUCCAGGCCCUACGGGGCGCAGCAGGCGCGAAAACUUUACAAUGCGGGAAACCGUGAUAAGGGGACACCGAGUGCCAGCGUCAUACGCUGGCUGUCCAGGUGUGUAAAAUACACCUGUUAGCAAGGGCCGGGCAAGACCGGUGCCAGCCGCCGCGGUAACACCGGCGGCCCGAGUGGUGAUCGUGAUUAUUGGGUCUAAAGGGUCCGUAGCCGGUUUGGUCAGUCCUCCGGGAAAUCUGAUAGCUCAACUGUUAGGCUUUCGGGGGAUACUGCCAGACUUGGAACCGGGAGAGGUAAGAGGUACUACAGGGGUAGGAGUGAAAUCUUGUAAUCCCUGUGGGACCACCUGUGGCGAAGGCGUCUUACCAGAACGGGUUCGACGGUGAGGGACGAAAGCUGGGGGCACGAACCGGAUUAGAUACCCGGGUAGUCCCAGCCGUAAACGAUGCUCGCUAGGUGUCAGGCAUGGCGCGACCGUGUCUGGUGCCGCAGGGAAGCCGUGAAGCGAGCCACCUGGGAAGUACGGCCGCAAGGCUGAAACUUAAAGGAAUUGGCGGGGGAGCACCACAACGGGUGGAGCUUGCGGUUUAAUUGGAUUCAACGCCGGAAAUCUUACCGGGACCGACAGCAAUAUGAAGGCCAGGCUGAAGACUUUGCCGGAUUAGCUGAGAGGUGGUGCAUGGCCGUCGUCAGUUCGUACUGUGAAGCAUCCUGUUAAGUCAGGCAACGAGCGAGACCCACGCCCACAGUUGCCAGCGUACUCUCUGGAGUGACGGGUACACUGUGGGGACCGCCGCUGCUAAAGCGGAGGAAGGAAUGGGCAACGGUAGGUCAGUAUGCCCCGAAUAUCCCGGGCUACACGCGAGCUACAAUGGUUGGUACAAUGGGUAUCUACCCCGAAAGGGGACGGAAAUCUCCUAAAACCAAUCUCAGUCCGGAUUGAGGGCUGCAACUCGCCCUCAUGAAGCUGGAAUCCGUAGUAAUCGCGUUUCAACAGAACGCG